rnacentral:rRNA from 1 species
AUGAACGCUAGCGACAGGCCUAACACAUGCAAGUCGAGGGGCAGCGGAGAGGUAGCAAUACCUUUGCCGGCGACCGGCGCACGGGUGAGUAACACGUAUGCAAUCCACCUGUAACAGGGGGAUAACCCGGAGAAAUCCGGACUAAUACCCCAUAAUAUGGGCUCUCCGCAUGGAGGGUCCAUUAAAGAGAGCAAUUUUGGUUACAGACGAGCAUGCGCUCCAUUAGCCAGUUGGCGGGGUAACGGCCCACCAAAGCGACGAUGGAUAGGGGUUCUGAGAGGAAGGUCCCCCACAUUGGAACUGAGACACGGUCCAAACUCCUACGGGAGGCAGCAGUGAGGAAUAUUGGUCAAUGGUCGGCAGACUGAACCAGCCAAGUCGCGUGAGGGAAGACGGCCCUACGGGUUGUAAACCUCUUUUGUCGGAGAGUAAAGUACGCUACGUGUAGCGUAUUGCAAGUAUCCGAAGAAAAAGCAUCGGCUAACUCCGUGCCAGCAGCCGCGGUAAUACGGAGGAUGCAAGCGUUAUCCGGAUUUAUUGGGUUUAAAGGGUGCGUAGGCGGCACGCCAAGUCAGCGGUGAAAUUUUCGGGCUCAACCCGGACUGUGCCGUUGAAACUGGCGAGCUAGAGUGCACAAGAGGCAGGCGGAAUGCGUGGUGUAGCGGUGAAAUGCAUAGAUAUCACGCAGAACCCCGAUUGCGAAGGCAGCCUGCUAGGGUGCGACAGACGCUGAGGCACGAAAGCGUGGGUAUCGAACAGGAUUAGAUACCCUGGUAGUCCACGCUGUAAACGAUGGAUACUAGGUGUGCGGGGACUGACCCCCUGCGUGCCGCAGUUAACACAAUAAGUAUCCCACCUGGGGAGUACGAUCGCAAGGUUGAAACUCAAAGGAAUUGACGGGGGCCCGCACAAGCGGAGGAACAUGUGGUUUAAUUCGAUGAUACGCGAGGAACCUUACCCGGGCUCAAACGCAGGGGGAAUAUAUAUGAAAGUAUAUAGCUAGCAAUAGUCACCUGCGAGGUGCUGCAUGGUUGUCGUCAGCUCGUGCCGUGAGGUGUCGGCUUAAGUGCCAUAACGAGCGCAACCCCUAUCGACAGUUACUAACGGGUGAAGCCGAGGACUCUGUCGAGACUGCCGGCGCAAGCCGCGAGGAAGGUGGGGAUGACGUCAAAUCAGCACGGCCCUUACGUCCGGGGCGACACACGUGUUACAAUGGCAGGUACAGAAGGCAGCCAGUCAGCAAUGACGCGCGAAUCCCGAAAACCUGUCUCAGUUCGGAUUGGAGUCUGCAACCCGACUCCAUGAAGCUGGAUUCGCUAGUAAUCGCGCAUCAGCCAUGGCGCGGUGAAUACGUUCCCGGGCCUUGUACACACCGCCCGUCAAGCCAUGGAAGCCGGGAGUACCUGAAGCAUGCAACCGCAAGGAGCGUACGAAGGUAAUACCGGUAACUGGGGCU